GGGGAGUGCAGGAUCCUGGGCUGUGUCCGCCGGCGCCCUGGAAUCCGGGGCCUGGGCUGCUGGAAUCGUGCUCCCGGGGCCGGGGCUCCCC
rnacentral:pre_miRNA from 1 species